AGACUAUUAAUGUCCAUAGUGCAUAAUAACGCUCCUUCAGGAAUAAUACUAACACGUUCUAGUUUCUUAAUGAAAUCUGUCGUGUCCUGCACAAAUGAACGCAUAUUGGAGACCAAAGAUUGCAAAUGUAUAUCAACAAAUUUGGAUAGUGGUUGUAAAACCGAUCCACAUCCUGACACUAUAGGACGACCAGGUGGAUAUCUCAAAUUCUUAUGUAUCUUCGGGAGCAGGUAAAUAAAGGGGAUCUUUGGGUGAUCCGUAUUCAAAAAAUUAUAAUCCCUUUUCUCAAUUAGCUCCUUCUCUAAAGCCACACCCGUAAUUACCUUAAUUCGUUCCUUUAACUCACCUGUAGGAUCAUGCUCCAAGAUUCUGUAAUGGCUUUCAUUAGUCAGUUGGCGAUUCAUCUCAGCAACAUAUUCACUCGUGUUCAUCACUACCAAUGCUCCUCCC